AUGGCUGAUUGGGUUUUGGGCAACUUUCCUUUCUCAGGAACCUGUGCUCUUUCAAGUUUACGUUUGAUUAUAAUAAUUCAUCAGACACUUGGAACAUGGUGGUCUGUGGCGUUAAACUUCCUUGGUCACAUUAAAGCUCAACACUAUAUUUGUCCGCGGGUGGCUGGUGGUGUGUAUUUGAUGGACGCUCUUAACUGGUUGGCCAUUUACAAUAAUUGCAGAUGA